CCUACGGGAGGCAGCAGUGGGGAAUAUUGCACAAUGGAGGAAAGUCUGAUGCAGCGAAGUCGCGUGAGGGAAGACGGUCUUAGGAUUGUAAACCUCUGUCUUUGGGGAAGAAAAUGACGGUACCCAAAGAGGAAGCUCCGGCUAACUACGUGCCAGCAGCCGCGGUAAUACGUCGGGAGCGAGCGUUGUCCGGAAUUACUGGGUGUAAAGGGAGCGUAGGGGGGCGAGAAAGUUGAAUGUUAAAUCUACAGGUUUAACGGGUAAGUGCGUUUAAAAAUUCUUGUCUUGAGUGAAGUAGAGGCAGGCGGAAUUCGUGGUGUAGCGGUGAAAUGCGUAGAUAUUAGGAGGAACACCAGUGGCGAAGGCGGCUUGCUGAGCUUUAACUGACGUUGAGGCUCGAAAGCGUGGGGAGCAAACAGGAUUAGAUACCCUUGUAGUC
rnacentral:rRNA from 1 species